rnacentral:rRNA from 1 species
UGAGCAACCUACCCUCAACUUCGGGAUAAGCCUCGGAAACGGGGUCUAAUACCGGAUAUCACUCCUUACUUCAUGGUUUGGGGUUGAAAGUUCUGGCGGUUGGGGAUGGGCUCGCGGCCUAUCAGCUUGUUGGUGGGGUAAUGGCCUACCAAGGCGUCGACGGGUAGCCGGCCUGAGAGGGCGACCGGCCACACUGGGACUGAGACACGGCCCAGACUCCUACGGGAG